AUGUUGUUGUUGUUUUUUCAAUGUCCUGGGUUUUCGACAUCGAACCCACUACAGCGCCUAGAAAACGCUCGAGGUAAAGGUUUGUUUCAUUGCGUUUUGUACACGUCAUUUUUUUCGUAUUGGUGUUUGUAUUUAUUAUUGAAAGUGAUGAUUUUUCUGGAAUUAUAUGUUUUGGCCAAUUUGGCACAUCAAGGAUAUAGUUUAUGA